rnacentral:misc_RNA from 1 species
GUGAGUCAUCGAAUCUUUGAACGCACAUUGCGCCUGCUGGUAUUCCGGUAGGCAUGCCUGUUUGAGCGUCAGCAAAAACUCUCAGCUGAAAUUUAUUUUUCUGGCUGGUUAUGGGUGUUUGGAGGAAACUUGGUCCUUUGUGUCCAGCUCUCGCCUUAAACUUGCUGCACGACCGCAAGCUAAUGCUAGGUUAAUGGAGUGGUAUUUUCUUAUAAUUCCAGCAACUGUUCAUAGCUUCCGCGGCGUUAAACCUGAUGUUGCUUAACUGCGACUGAAGUUUGACCUCAAAUCAGACAAGGA